rnacentral:rRNA from 1 species
GACGAACGCUGGCGGCGUGCUUAACACAUGCAAGUCGAACGGUGAAGCGCCUUCCUUUUUGGUGGGUGUGGAUGAGUGGCGAACGGGUGAGUAACACGUGAGUAACCUGCCCCCUUCUUCUGGAUAACCGCAUGAAAGUGUGGCUAAUACGGGAUAUUCUGGGUCUGUCGCAUGAUGGGUCUGGGAAAGAUAUUGCUUCUGUGGGGGAUGGGCUCGCGGCCUAUCAGCUUGUUGGUGAGGUGAUGGCCUACCAAGGCGGUGACGGGUAGCCGGCCUGAGAGGGUGGACGGUCACACUGGGACUGAGACACGGCGCAGACUCCUACGGGAGGCAGCAGUGGGGAAUAGUGCACAGUGGGCGCAAGCCUGAUGCAGCGACGCCGCGUGAGGGAUGGAGGCCUUCGGGUUGUGAACCUCUUUCGCCAGUGAAGCAGGCCUGCCUCGUUUGUGGGUGGGUUGACGGUAGCUGGAUAAGAAGCGCCGGCUAACUACGUG